rnacentral:rRNA from 1 species
GACGAACGCUAGCGGCGUGCUUAACACAUGCAAGUCGAACGGAAAGGCCCUGCUUUUGUGGGGUGCUCGAGUGGCGAACGGGUGAGUAACACGUGAGUAACCUGCCCUUGACUUUGGGAUAACUUCAGGAAACUGGGGCUAAUACCGGAUAGGAGCUCCUGCUGCAUGGUGGGGGUUGGAAAGUUUCGGCGGUUGGGGAUGGACUCGCGGCUUAUCAGCUUGUUGGUGGGGUAGUGGCUUACCAAGGCUUUGACGGGUAGCCGGCCUGAGAGGGUGACCGGCCACAUUGGGACUGAGAUACGGCCCAGACUCCUACGGGAGGCAGCAGUGGGGAAUAUUGCACAAUGGGCGGAAGCCUGAUGCAGCAACGCCGCGUGCGGGAUGACGGCCUUCGGGUUGUAAACCGCUUUCGCCUGUGACGAAGCGUGAGUGACGGUAAUGGGUAAAGAAGCACCGGCUAACUACGU